UACGAAGGGGGCUAGCGUUGUUCGGAAUUACUGGGCGUAAAGCGUAUGUAGGCGGAUCGUUAAGUCGGGGGUGAAAUCCCGAGGCUCAACCUCGGAACUGCCUUCGAUACUGGCGAUCUUCGAGUCUGGGAGAGGUGAGUGGAACUCCGAGUGUAGAGGUGAAAUUCGUAGAUAUUCGGAAGAACACCAGUGGCGAAGGCGGCUCACUGCCCCGGUACUGACGCUGAAAAUACGAAAAGCGUGGGGGAGCAAACAGGG
rnacentral:rRNA from 1 species